rnacentral:rRNA from 1 species
GACGAACGCUGGCGGCGUGCUUAACACAUGCAAGUCGAACGGAAAGGCCCUGCGUUUGUUGGGUGCUCGAGUGGCGAACGGGUGAGUAACACGUGAGUAACCUGCCCUUGACUGUGGGAUAACUUCAGGAAACUGGGGCUAAUACCGGAUAUGAGCUCCUGCUGCAUGGUGGGGGUUGGAAAGUUGCGGCGGUUGGGGACGAAGUCGGGGCUUAGCAUCUUGUUGGUGGGGUAGUGACUUACCAGGGCUUUGACGGGUAGCCGGCCUGGGAGGGUGAACGGCCCAAUCGGCAACGGGAGACGGCACAGACGAAUACGGGAGGAAGGAGUGGAGAAUAUUGGAGAAUGGGCGGAAGCGUGAUGCAGCAACGCCGCGUGUGGGAUGCCGGUGUUCGGGUAGUAAACGGCUUUCGCCUGUGACGAAGCGUGAGGGCGGGUAAUGGGUAGAGAAGCACCGGCUACUUCCUU